CACGUAUGGGGCAAGCGUUGUCCGGAUUUAUUGGGCGUAAAGAGCUCGUAGGCGGCUCAGUAAGUCAGGUGUGAAACCUCCAGGCUCAACCUGGAGACGCCACCUGAUACUGCUGUGGCUAGAGUCCGGUAGGGGAGCGUGGAAUUCCUGGUGUAGCGGUGAAAUGCGCAGAUAUCAGGAGGAACACCAGCGGCGAAGGCGGCGCUCUGGGCCGGAACUGACGCUGAGGAGCGAAAGCGUGGGUAGCAAACAGG
rnacentral:rRNA from 1 species